rnacentral:rRNA from 1 species
GGGUAGAGUUCUUCGGAGCUUGAGACCGGCGCACGGGUGCGUAACGCGUAUGCAAUCUACCUUUUACAGAGGGAUAGCCCAGAGAAAUUUGGAUUAAUACCUCAUAGUAUAAUUGAAUGGCAUCAUUUAAUUAUUAAAGUCACAACGGUAAAAGAUGAGCAUGCGUCCCAUUAGCUAGUUGGUAAGGUAACGGCUUACCAAGGCUACGAUGGGUAGGGGUCCUGAGAGGGAGAUCCCCCACACUGGUACUGAGACACGGACCAGACUCCUACGGGAGGCAGCAGUGAGGAAUAUUGGACAAUGGGCGCAAGCCUGAUCCAGCCAUGCCGCGUGCAGGAUGACGGUCCUAUGGAUUGUAAACUGCUUUUGUACAGGAAGAAACACUGGUUCGUGAACCAGCUUGACGGUACUGUAAGAAUAAGGAUCGGCUAACUCCGUGCCAGCAGCCGCGGUAAUACGGAGGAUCCAAGCGUUAUCCGGAAUCAUUGGGUUUAAAGGGUCCGUAGGCGGUUUGGUAAGUCAGUGGUGAAAGCCCAUCGCUCAACGGUGGAACGGCCAUUGAUACUGCUAGACUUGAAUUAUUAGGAAGUAACUAGAAUAUGUAGUGUAGCGGUGAAAUGCUUAGAGAUUACAUGGAAUACCAAUUGCGAAGGCAGGUUACUACUAAUAUAUUGACGCUGAUGGACGAAAGCGUGGGUAGCGAACAGGAUUAGAUACCCUGGUAGUCCACGCCGUAAACGAUGGAUACUAGCUGUUGGGCGCAAGUUCAGUGGCUAAGCGAAAGUGAUAAGUAUCCCACCUGGGGAGUACGUUCGCAAGAAUGAAACUCAAAGGAAUUGACGGGGGCCCGCACAAG